AGCAGUCGCCGCGGGAAUACGGAGGGUGCAAGCGUUAAUCGGAAUUACUGGGCGUAAAGCGUGCGUAGGUGGUGGUUUAAGUCCGUUGUGAAAGCCCUGGGCUCAACCUGGGAAUUGCAGUGGAUACUGGGUCACUAGAGUGUGGUAGAGGAUAGUGGAAUUUCCGGUGUAGCAGUGAAAUGCGUAGAGAUCGGAAGGAACAUCUGUGGCGAAGGCGACUAUCUGGGCCAACACUGACACUGAGGCACGAAAGCGUGGGGAGCAAACAGGAUUAGAUACCCCCGUAGUCCCUGUCUCUUAUAC
rnacentral:rRNA from 1 species